CAAGAUGAUGAUAUGCAUAUUAAAAUUGUGUAUAGGAGUCCUUUGGAAGUGAAAAAGAAUUCCAUAAAUGAUCUUGUGCAUGGAGAUGAGAAAGUUUCUUUUAGGUCAUCAAAUGAAGCAUUACUGAUAUUAGCUUUCAAAAGGAUCCAUAGAUGCUUCUUCACAUCAUCGGGUGUUAGGUUGAAAUUUUGCUUUUCAUCGAUAAUAUUCACCAGAUGCUCUGCGAUCUUAUUUGCCACGAAAUCCACAAGAGGUCUACUCUUGAUUGUAUUGAAUAAAUUCAGAAAGGUGACUUGCGUCAAAUAAAAAACAAUUUUCGGAAGUAUAAAAAAGGAAAAAUACCUACCCAAAUUUCAGAAAAAUCAAAGUGAUGUAAAAUAAUGGCUAGGCUAGGCUAGGCUUAGUAAGCUAGCUAGUUAUGCGGUUAUGCAAUGAUGCAAAAUUGCAAAUGCUUUCGUCCAUUUAAUAUUGAAAAAUACUAAGAGAAAUAUCUCUACUACCUAACAGUUUAACGUUAAAUUCUGUAUUAAUAUUGUAAAACAUCACAUAAAAAAUAUAAGGUGAUAGAGAAGAAUUAAUAUGCUUAUUCUUAAAACAGCUUUCGAUGUUUACGAUUGCAUCAGUACAUAAGUUUCGGCACGAAUGUAUCGAUACAUAAAUUUCAAUACGAAUGUUGCGGUACAAUUGUAUCAGUACAUAAGUUCUAGUACGAUUGCAUCGGUACAUAAGUUUUGGUACGAAUGUAUCGGUACAUAAGUUUCGGUACAAAUGUACUAUGAGUAUAUAAGUUUUGGUACGAAUGUAUCGGUUCAUAAGUUUCAGUACGAAUGUACUAUUGGUACAUAAAUUUCGGUACAAUUGCAUCGGUACAUAAGUUUCGAUACGAAUGUAUCUGUAUAUAAGUUUUGGUUGGUGCACCAUCCUUCAAGUGAUCCAGCAAUAAAUCUUUCUUUUGUAGCUCAUCGAUCAACAGCCUUCCUUUUCGGUACAUAGAUAAUAUUGCCUUCAACAUCUUUAUUUGACUUUACUAUGCUUAUCUCAUUUGUAUGCACGUAUGCUACAAAUUUAAGCUAAAGCUCCAGUAUAUUUACCUCAUCUCCCACAUGAUUUUGUGCCAUUCCAACAAUAGCAUUGGCGAUAUUCCUCACUGUGGUGGUAGGAACAAUGCUCUAAAACAUAACUAGGAAACCGAGAAACUUUUUCUCAUUCGUCAACAAUUUCUUCUUAAAAGCACAUAACAUAAUUUUUCUUUGAACGCGUUUCAAUCCAUCAACCAUUGAUGGAAUUGAUCUUUGCAGAUAAUCCCUACAAAACUCUCUAAACACAUUUUGGAAAAAGUCAUUGUAUGUUUUGAAUGUCUGUCGAGGAUUAAAAUGACUACUAGGUUGUGAAUCCGCAUACUUGGCAAGCCAAUCUCUUCUAUCUUCUACUCUGUUUUUACUAAAAGCAAGAGUGAUUACAUCCUCAACGUUAUCGUCCCAAAGAGAGCAUUUCUUAUGAUCCUCAAUAUUUUCAAAAUAUUCUUUCAUUUCCUCAAGGUUGCAUGAAGCCAACCCCUAAAAGCAUGUACAUAUAUUGUACAAGAAUAAGAGUACUUAUGACAAUAUGCAUGGUGCAUGAAGAGUAAGUUGAAAACAUAAGGAACACGUACCUUGUAAUACUUGAUGGAAUAGUCAGCAACAUUGCCGUCUCUUCUCUCCAGUCCUUAAACUCUCUGAUUGAAUAAAAUGCUCGAGAAUGAUGAUCUUGACUGCCAUCCUUCUUAAUCGCCUAUACAGAUCCACUCCAAACAUACAAGUUAAAAACAAGGAAUACAUAUGUGCAUUCUUGUACUUGAUAACAAUCUUUAACUCAUAUUGAAGUUAUCUAAGCAUAUGGUAGUCAAACAAUAUAAACUAACCUUCAAAAUAGGAGUUAUAAACCCAACAAAAAGUGGUGGUCAAUUUUAAGAAGCGAGGACCAAUAAAAAUGAAAAAAAUUAAUCAAAAACCGUUUGAUGUGGGAACCAUCAUGAUCCUACACAAACACAUACGUUAAACUUCUCAGUGGUCAUCAAGAUGAUGAUAUGCAUAUUAAAAUUGUGUAUAGGAGUCCUUUGGAAGUGAAAAAGAAUUCCAUAAAUGAUCUUGUGCAUGGAGAUGAGAAAGUUUCUUUUAGGUCAUCAAAUGAAGCAUUACUGAUAUUAGCUUUCAAAAGGAUCCAUAGAUGCUUCUUCACAUCAUCGGGUGUUAGGUUGAAAUUUUGCUUUUCAUCGAUAAUAUUCACCAUAUGCUCUGCGAUCUUAUUUGCCACGAAAUCCACAAGAGGUCUACCCUUGAUUGUAUUGAA
rnacentral:lncRNA from 1 species